rnacentral:rRNA from 1 species
CCUACGGGUGGCAGCAGUGAGGAAUAUUGGUCAAUGGACGAGAGUCUGAACCAGCCAAGUAGCGUGAAGGAUGACUGCCCUAUGGGUUGUAAACUUCUUUUAUAUGGGAAUAAAAUGUUCCACGUGUGGGAUUUUGUAUGUACCAUAUGAAUAAGGAUCGGCUAACUCCGUGCCAGCAGCCGCGGUAAUACGGAGGAUGCGAGCGUUAUCCGGUUUUAUUGGGGUUAAAGGGAGCGCAGGUGGAUUGUUAAGGCAGUUGUGAAAGUUUGCGGCUCAACCGUAAAAUUGCAGUUGAAACUGGCAGUCUUGAGUAUAGUAGAGGUGGGCGGAAUUCGUGGUGUAGCGGUGAAAUGCUUAGAUAUCACGAAGAACUCCGAUUGCGAAGGCAGUUCACUGGACUGCAACUGACACUGAGGCUCGAAAGUGUGGGUAUCAAACAGGAUUAGAUACCCUAGUAGUC